UACGAAGGGGGCUAGCGUUGUUCGGAAUUACUGGGCGUAAAGCGCACGUAGGCGGAAAUUUAAGUCAGGGGUGAAAUCCCGGGGCUCAACCCCCGGAACUGCCUUUGAUACUGGGUUUCUUGAGUUCGGAAGAGGUAAGUGGAAUUGCGAGUGUAGAGGUGAAAUUCGUAGAUAUUCGCAGGAACACCAGUGGCGAAGGCGGCUUACUGGUCCGAUACUGACGCUGAGGUGCGAAAGCGUGGGGAGCAAACAGG
rnacentral:rRNA from 1 species